GUUGGGUUAGGAAAUGUUUGCUCCUGUUGUGCCCCAUGCCUGAGGAGAUGCAGGACCCUCUCCAAGUUCUGGGUGGGCAUCUAGAACAGCAGAACUCAGCUCAUUUAUACAGAACAGACUGCUGCUUUUGUGAUUUUAGGACAUCUGAUGCAAUCCUGGGAGCUGAGCACACCAAUGACUGAUAAGCCACAAGGGCCUUAUUUACUUUACAGAAGGUUCUGCAAAUCCCAGCGAGACGUUGGCCUGUGCUUAAAUUUUCUCCAUUCAGUCCUUGGGAUCGUGGCAUUUCAAUGUGACUCUUCAAAUCAAAAGCAUUACUGCACUUGGAAAAAGCAAAUGAGGGUAGAUUAAUGAGAAUAAAAACCAUAACAAUUUAACAAUAAACCUUUUCUAUAGCCUCAGAAAGGAUACAAAACAAAAUCUGUGAUAAGCAGGAUCAACUCUGUUUACUCCAAAAGAUUCCAGUGAAAUAUCCUCAUUUUCUGAAUGUGGUUACAGUUGGUUAAACUGACUUUGUUUCAGCCUGGUUUUAAACUGCUCUUUAGUUUUUUAUUAUCUUUUAUUAUCAGAGAAUUGUAGAAAUGAUGGAUCUGAAUGGUGUUACUGCUGGUGCUGUGUCCCAGCAAACACAGCUCUUCUGUCCAGCACACUGAAGAUGGUGGGCAGCAGGCUGAAUUCAGCUUUGCCCGGGGAGCUCAUGGGGCCAUGGGAGAGAGGAAGGCAUUGGGAAUGCACACUGAAGGGAGGCAGGGGCUCAGAGUCAUUUGGCAGACUCACCUGGGGCAGUUUCUUCAUGGCUGUAAACUGGAACUGUUUGAUUUGGGGGAGGGCGAGCUGGCUGAAUAAUCCCAUUGAUUUUGUUGUGUUACAUUUUAAUCAUUUCAGGGCAGGGAUUAUUGAGGAACUAUGUGUAUAAAUCCUGUAAAUCCCU